GACGAACGCUGGCGGCGUGCCUAAUACAUGCAAGUAGAACGCUGAAGGAGGAGCUUGCUCUUCUGGAUGAGUUGCGAACGGGUGAGUAACGCGUAGGUAACCUGCCUGGUAGCGGGGGAUAACUAUUGGAAACGAUAGCUAAUACCGCAUAACAGUAGAUGUUGCAUGACAUUUACUUAAAAGGUGCAAUUGCAUCACUACCAGAUGGACCUGCGUUGUAUUAGCUAGUUGGUGGGGUAACGGCUCACCAAGGCGACGAUACAUAGCCGACCUGAGAGGGUGAUCGGCCACACUGGGACUGAGACACGGCCCAGACUCCUACGGGAGGCAGCAGUAGGGAAUCUUCGGCAAUGGACGGAAGUCUGACCGAGCAACGCCGCGUGAGUGAAGAAGGUUUUCGGAUCGUAAAGCUCUGUUGUAAGAGAAGAACGAGUGUGAGAGUGGAAAGUUCACACUGUGACGGUAUGUUACCAGAAAGGGACGGCUAACUACG
rnacentral:rRNA from 1 species